rnacentral:rRNA from 1 species
GGAAUAUUGCACAAUGGAGGAAACUCUGAUGCAGCGACGCCGCGUGAGUGAAGAAGUAUUUCGGUAUGUAAAGCUCUAUCAGCAGGGAAGAAAAAAAUGACGGUACCUGACUAAGAAGCCCCGGCUAACUACGUGCCAGCAGCCGCGGUAAUACGUAGGGGGCAAGCGUUAUCCGGAUUUACUGGGUGUAAAGGGAGCGCAGGCGGAAGGCUAAGUCUGAUGUGAAAACCCGGGGCUCAACUCCGGGACUGCAUUGGAAACUGGUCAUCUUGAGUGUCGGAGAGGCAAGUGGAAUUCCUAGUGUAGCGGUGAAAUGCGUAGAUAUUAGGAGGAACACCAGUGGCGAAGGCGGCUUGCUGGACGACAACUGACGCUGAGGCUCGAAAGCGUGGGGAGCAAACA